rnacentral:lncRNA from 1 species
CCAUUCCCCCAUACUACCCCCCUAAUGCCCUUGUUCUGAAGCUUCUCUUAUUAAAAUUCACCUUAAAUCAACUGGUUUUUUUCUCUCUCUAGAAAAACAGACCCAUCUAUGGAAACCUUAGCAAAACCUCAAGAAUUUAGAAACCCAUGUCUUAUUUCAUCCCCAGAUAGCCAUAGCUCCAACAGUUCAAGCUGUAGCAAUAGCGGCAACUCCAAUGGUCUUCACAACCGCUACCCUACACCGCCCACCACCCCAACACCUGCUACUCCGCCAGCACUACCACCACAACUACCCAUCACCAGAUCCGAACCCAA